rnacentral:misc_RNA from 1 species
GUUUGUCGAUCUGUUCACGCCAACGAAGAAGGCCUUCGACGAAGCGCAGGAUAAUCUGACGAUCAACGGCAUGCA